rnacentral:rRNA from 1 species
ACGCUCGACACCUACGGGAGGCAGCAGUGGGGAAUAUUGGGCAAUGGGCGAAAGCCUGACCCAGCAACGCCGCGUGAGGGAAGAAGGUUUUCGGAUUGUAAACCUCUGUCCUCAGGGACGAAGGACGUAACGGUACCUGAGGAGGAAGCCCCGGCUAACUACGUGCCAGUAGCCGCGGUAAUCUGAGCGGGCUGGCAAGGC